CACACUGCCCAGGCCCUGAUCAAUGUUGAGGGUGGUGAGGUAGGCGAACAAGAUCCCAGUGAAACACGAGUCAUCCCCCACCCGUGUCGACAUCUCAUUUUUUAGCUCCUCUACUGUGUACACCUGGCUGAUGCUGGAAACUAGGUCUGACUCCACAGUCUGAGCAUACUGGUAGAGCUGGUGGGCCUCACCAGAGUCUGAGAGGAGGGAAGACAACACAUAAUAAAGAAAACUCGUGCUCUGUCACUUGAUUAGGGAUUAGCAAUUACUCACGUGCUUUACAAUGGCCAGAAUAUUGAUGUGAGAGCCAUCCAUACUUGGACCAUUGCUAAGGAUGUCUGAGAGGGUGUGGUAGUCGGAGGGUGGUCUCAGAGGUACGUGAGCCAGGGCUGUGAACUCUGUGUAAUCCCAGCCACUGUACAGGGAGAGGUUUGAGUACGUCUCACUGAUGUUCACCUGGUACUGACUGUAUGUGUGCAUGUCAUGUGUUGGGUAUGAGGGAAAGGUGUAGGUGGGUGGUGGGUAUCAUAGUUAUACAUGCCUAGGGGUCCAUGGGCUCCACUUGUCAUUUUGUGGGUCUCCACUCGUAAUUUUGCUGGAUACUUGACAGUUCUGCACCUCGACUGCAAAUAUGAGACACCAUAGCUUGACGAGGGAAAUACAUUGAAAUAGUAGAUUGAAUGUAAUAAUUAUUAGCAGGAACGUUAAAUCUUCAUUUGCUCUGGAUAUUACGGUCUCCUACGUAUACAAUAAUUAUAGGGUUAGUACCGUAUAGCGGGUAUAUUUCGAGGGUAUAAAUGUUCGCGGUUUUCGCGGAUUGAGCCUGUACCGCGAAAAUUUAUACCCACGAAAAUUUAUGAAUAGUAGGCGUGUUCAGUAUUAUUGACCACACCUAUCGACAAUAAGAGG